AGGAUCCCUGGUCUAGGAUGUGUUGCCAACAUGACUUUUGUUUCAGAUGACUGGAUUUUUGAGAGGCCGUCCAAUUGGUACUUCCUAGGGCAGCUCCUGAACAUUGAAGCUUCUGUGAAGCAGUACAACCAUGUUCCUCUGUGUAUAUUUGUGGAUGGCUGUGUUGCUACUGUGGCCCCUGGUGUGAAAAUCUCGCCACAAUAUUCUUUUAUUGAGAACCAUGGGUGCAUGGUGCAAAGUUUACAGGCUCCACUUCCAGGUUCAUGCAUCGAGUUCAGAAUGACAAGCUGCAGUUUCAGUUAGAGGCUUUCAGAUUCCAUCAAGAUGAUAGUGACUUGGUUUACAUCACCUGUGCUCUGAAGGCUGUCAUGGCCUCAACCCCCACAAGUCCAGAUAACAAGGCUUGCUUUUUCACUAAUGGUGGACUUCUGUAGAUGACAGUGACCAGGUGUGCAUGUGCUGCGACUCCACAUGCAAUUUGAGCAGGAAAGGACGAGCACUGUCCGAUUCAGGCCUGGUAUCAGAAGAGAAAGUAACUAUAGGCCCCAUUGUGAUUGUUGAGUGAUGUAUUGUGAAUGGCAUAAAGGGCCAAUA